CUCCGGUUGAUCCCGCCGGACCCGACUGCUAUCAGAGUGGGACUAAGCCAUGCGAGUCAACAUAGCAAUAUGUGGCAUACGGCUCAGUAACACGUAGUCAACAUGCCCAGGGGACGUGGAUAACCUCGGGAAACUGAGGAUAAACCGCGAUAGGUCAUCACUUCUGGAAUGGGUAAUGACUUAAAUCUAUAUGGCCCCUGGAUUGGACUGCGGCCGAUCAGGCUGUUGGUGAGGUAAUGGCCCACCAAACCUGUAACCGGUACGGGCUCUGAGAGGAGGAGCCCGGAGAUGGGCACUGAGACAAGGGCCCAGGCCCUAUGGGGCGCAGCAGGCGCGAAACCUCUGCAAUAGGCGAAAGCUUGACAGGGUUACUCUGAGUGAUUUCCGUUAAGGAGAUCUUUUGGCACCCCUAAAAAUGGUGCAGAAUAAGGGGUGGGCAAGUCUGGUGUCAGCCGCCGCGGUAAUACCAGCACCCCGAGUGGUCGGGACGUUUAUUGGGCCUAAAGCAUCCGUAGCCGGUUCUACAAGUCUUCCGUUAAAUCCACCUGCUUAACAGAUGGGCUGCGGAAGAUACUAUAGAGCUAGGAGGCGGGAGAGGCAAGCGGUACUCGAUGGGUAGGGGUAAAAUCCGUUGAUCCAUUGAAGACCACCAGUGGCGAAGGCGGCUUGCCAGAACGCGCUCGACGGUGAGGGAUGAAAGCUGGGGGAGCAAACCGGAUUAGAUACCCGGGUAGUCCCAGCUGUAAACGAUGCAGACUCGGUGAUGAGUUGGCUUAUUGCUAACUCAGUGCCGCAGGGAAGCCGUUAAGUUUGCCGCCUGGGGAGUACGGUCGCAAGACUGAAACUUAAAGGAAUUGGCGGGGGAGCA
rnacentral:rRNA from 1 species